rnacentral:rRNA from 1 species
CUCGUAGGUGGCCAACUAAGUCAUACGUGAAAUCCCUCGGCUUAACCGGGGAACUGCGUCUGAUACUGGAUGGCUUGAGGUUGGGAGAGGGACGCGGAAUUCCAGGUGUAGCGGUGAAAUGCGUAGAUAUCUGGAGGAACACCGGUGGCGAAGGCGGCGUCCUGGACCAAUUCUGACACUGAGGAGCGAAAGCCAGGGGAGCAAACG